rnacentral:ncRNA from 1 species
UAAGGACCCAUUCGCUUGGGUGGCUAUGCCGGGCGCCUAUCCCUCGGCCAACC